rnacentral:rRNA from 1 species
GACGAACGCUGGCGGCGUGCCUAACACAUGCAAGUCGAACGGAAAGGCCCUGAUUUUUUGGGGUUCUCGAGUGGCGAAGGCGUGAGUGUCACGUGUGUAACCUGCCCUUGUCUUUGGGAUAACAUCACGAAACUAGGGCUAAUAUCGGAUAGGAUAUCCUGCACCGUGGUGGGCAUUGGAAAGUUUCGGCGGUUGGGGUUGGACUCGCGGGUUAACAGCUUGUUUGUGGGGUAGUGGUGUACCCAGCCUGGCACGGGUACGACACCUGAGAGGGUGACCGGCCACAAUGGCACUUAGGGACGGCCGAGACGGGUACGGGAGGCAGCAGUGGGGAAUAUUGCCCAAGGGGCGCAGGCUGGAUGAAGCAACGCCGCGGGUGGUAAGACGGUCUUCGGGUUGAAAAACGCAUUCGCCUGUAACGAAGCGUGAGUGACGGUAAUCGAUAAAGAAGCACCGGCUAACUUCGUG